rnacentral:rRNA from 1 species
UGGGGAAUCUUAGACAAUGGGGGCAACCCUGAUCUAGCCAUGCCGCGUGAGUGAUGAAGGCCUUAGGGUUGUAAAGCUCUUUCAGCUGGGAAGAUAAUGACGGUACCAGCAGAAGAAGCCCCGGCUAACUCCGUGCCAGCAGCCGCGGUAAUACGGAGGGGGCUAGCGUUGUUCGGAAUUACUGGGCGUAAAGCGCACGUAGGCGGACCAGAAAGUUGGGGGUGAAAUCCCGGGGCUCAACCUCGGAACUGCCUUCAAAACUAUUGGUCUUGAGUUCGAGAGAGGUGAGUGGAAUUCCGAGUGUAGAGGUGAAAUUCGUAGAUAUUCGGAGGAACACCAGUGGCGAAGGCGGCUCACUGGCUCGAUACUGACGCUGAGGUGCGAAAGCGUGGGGAGCAAAACAGGAUUAGAUACCCUGGUAGUCCACGCCGUAAACGAUGAAUGCCAGUCGUCGGGUUGCAUGCAAUUCGGUGACACACCUAACGGAUUAAGCAUUCCGCCUGGGGAGUACGGUCGCAAGAUUAAAACUUAGAGGAAUUGACGGGGUCAUAGCUGUUUCCUG